rnacentral:rRNA from 1 species
AGUUAAAAAGCUCGUAGUUGGAUUUCGGAACCGGCCGAUUGGUCCGUCCUCUGGAUCGUGUACUGAUCGGUCUGUUCUUCUUCGCGAAGACCGCGUGUGCUCUUAACUGAGUGAGCGUGGGAUUCGCGACGUUUACUUUGAAAAAAUUAGAGUGUUCAAAGCAGGCAGUCGCUUGAAUAUCUCAGCAUGGAAUAAUAGAAUAGGACUUUGGUCUUAUUUUGUUGGUUUCCGAGACCGAAGUAAUGAUUAAUAGGGACAGUUGGGGGCAUUCGUAUUUCAUUGUCAGAGGUGAAAUUCUUGGAUUUAUGAAAGACGAACUUCUGCGAAAGCAUUUGCCAAGGAUGUUUUCAUUAAUCAAGAACGAAAGUUGGAGGCUCGAAGACGAUCAGAUACCGUCCUAGUUCCAACCAUAAACGAUGCCGUCUGCGGAUCGGAGGUCGCUCAUGUAAGGCUCCUUCGGCACGCUAUGAGAAAUCAAAGACUUCGGGUUCCGGGGGGAGUAUGUUCGCAAGAAUGAAACUUAAAGGAAUUGACGGAAGGGCACCACCAGGAGUGGAACCUGCGGUUUAAUUUGACUCAACACGGGAAAACUCACCAGGUCCAGACAUA